rnacentral:rRNA from 1 species
CGGCGGACGGGUGAGUAACGCGUGGGUAACUGCCUCAUACAGGGGGAUAACAGUUGGAAACGGCUGCUAUACCGCAUAAGCGCACAGUACCGCAUGGUACGGUGUGAAAAACUCCGGUGGUAUGAGAUGGACCCGCGUCUGAUUAGGUAGUUGGUGGGGUAACGGCCUACCAAGCGACGAUCAGUAGCCGACCUGAGAGGGUGACCGGCCACAUUGGGACUGAGACACGGCCCAA